rnacentral:rRNA from 1 species
UACGUAGGGUGCGAGCGUUGUCCGGAAUUAUUGGGCGUAAAGAGCUCGUAGGCGGUUUGUCGCGUCGGCCGUGAAAACUUGGGGCUUAACCCCAAGCCUGCGGUCGAUGACGGGCAGACUUGAGUUCGGCAGGGGAGACGUGGAAUUCCUGGUGUAGCGGUGAAAUGCGUAGAUAUCGAGAGGAACACCUGCGGCGAAGGCGGGUUGCUGGGCUGACACUGACGCUGAAGUGCGAAAGCUAGGGGAGCGAACGGG